rnacentral:SRP_RNA from 1 species
GCCGGGCGUUGUGGCAGGCGCCUGUGGUCCCAGCUACUUGGGAGGCGGAGGCAGGAGACUCGCUUGAGCCCAGGAGUUGGAGGUUGCUGUGAGCUGUGCCACGGCACUCUACCCAGGGGGACAGCUUGAGGCUCUGUCUCAAAAAAAAAAAAGUAUAUAUAUUAUAUAUAUAUAAAAGUUUAUUUUUUAUUUUUAUUUAUUUAUUUGCUGCCUUUGGGAGGCAGUUUUUUUUUGUUUGUUUGUUUGUUUUUUUUGAGACAGAGCCUGAUGCUGUCCUCCUGGGUGGAGUGCUGUGGUAUCACAGCUCACAGCAACCUCCAACUCCUGGGCUCAAAGAAGUCUCCUGCCUCAG